GACGAACGCUGGCGGCGUGCUUAACACAUGCAAGUCGAACGGAAAGGCCCUGCCUUUGUGGGGUGCUCGAGUGGCGAACGGGUGAGUAACACGUGAGUAACCUGCCCUUGACUUUGGGUUAACUUCAGGAAACUGGGGCUAUUCCCCGAUAGGAGCUCCUGCUGCAUGGUGGGGGUUGGAAAGUUUCGGCGGUUGGGGAUGGACUCGCGGCUUAUCAGCUUGUUGGUGGGGUAGUGGCUCACCAAGGCCUUGACGGAUAGCCGGCCUGAGAGGGUGACCGGCCACAUUAGGACUGAGAGACGGCCCAGACUGCUACGGGAGGCAGCAGUGGGGAAUAUGGCACAAUGGGCGGAAGCCUGAUGCAGCAACGCCGCGGGCGGGAUGACGGCCUUCGGGGUGUAAACCGCUUGCGCCUGUGACGGAGCGUGAGUGACGGUAAUGGAUAAAGAAGCACCGGCUAACUACGUG
rnacentral:rRNA from 1 species